rnacentral:rRNA from 1 species
UACAGAGGUCUCAAGCGUUGUUCGGAUUCAUUGGGCGUAAAGGGUGCGUAGGCGGCGCGGUAAGUCGGGUGUGAAAUCUCGGAGCUUAACUCCGAAACUGCAUUCGAUACUGCCGUGCUUGAGGACUGGAGAGGAGACUGGAAUUUACGGUGUAGCGGUGAAAUGCGUAGAUAUCCGGAGGAACACCGGUGGCGAAGGCGGCUUGCUGGACCUGGUCUGACGCUGAGGCGCGAAAGCGUGGGGAGCGAACAGG